ACUCCUACGGGAGGCAGCAGUGGGGAAUAUUGCACAAUGGGCGCAAGCCUGAUGCAGCCAUGCCGCGUGUAUGAAGAAGGCCUUCGGGUUGUAAAGUACUUUCAGCAGUGAGGAAGGUGGGUAUGUUAAUAGCAUAUUCAUUUGACGUUAGCUGCAGAAGAAGCACCGGCUAACUCCGUGCCAGCAGCCGCGGUAAUACGGAGGGUGCGAGCGUUAAUCGGAAUUACUGGGCGUAAAGCGCAUGCAGGUGGUUUGUUAAGUCAGAUGUGAAAGCCCGGGGCUCAACCUCGGAAUUGCAUUUGAAACUGGCAAACUAGAGUACUGUAGAGGGGGGUAGAAGUUUCAGGUGUAGCGGUGAAAUGCGUAGAGAUCUGAAGGAAUACCGGUGGCGAAGGCGGCCCCCUGGACAGAUACUGACACUCAGAUGCGAAAGCGUGGGG
rnacentral:rRNA from 1 species